rnacentral:tRNA from 2 species
GCGGGGGUGCCCGAGUUAGGCCAAAGGGGAUAGGUUCAGGCCCUAUUGGCGAAGGCCUGCGUGGGUCCAAAUCCCACCCCCCGCA